rnacentral:rRNA from 1 species
CCUACGGGAGGCAGCAGUGAGGAAUAUUGGUCAAUGGACGGAAGUCUGAACCAGCCAUGCCGCGUGCAGGAAGACGGCUCUAUGAGUUGUAACCUGCUUUUGUACAAGGGUAAACCUGAAUACGUGUAUUCAGCUGAAAGUACUGUACGAAUAAGGAUCGGCUAACUCCGUGCCAGCAGCCGCGGUAAUACGGAGGAUCCAAGCGUUAUCCGGAGUUAUUGGGUUUAAUGGGUGCGUAGGCGGAUUGAUAAGUUAGAGGUGAAAUGUCCGAGCUUAACUCGGGAACUGCCUCUAAUACUGUUGCUCUAGAGAGUAGAUGCGGUAGGCGGAAUGUAUGGUGUAGCGGUGAAAUGCUUAGAGAGCAUACAGAACACCGAUUGCGAAGGCAGCUUACCAAUCUAUAUCUGACGUUGAGGCACGAAAGCGUGGGGAGCAAACAGGAUUAGAUACCCGAGUAGUC